AGGAAGGUUGAGGACCACUGGUCUGAGGUUUCGUUCCUCUUGUGUGAAGGCACAUAUUCCUCCACUUCUGUACCACUCUGUCAUUCCACUAUUGCUUGUCAGCUUUCAACAAAGUAAGUUAAGGAGGCCUUGUCUGUGACCGACAGAUACCUUCUGCUGAAGCCCCUGGCAGGCAGAGGUUGUUACAGGCAAUGGUGUAAUUGAGACUGGCACCGGUGGUUACAGGCAAUCAUUUCCGUGGUGGGUUUGGUUGGGUGGCCUGCAGCUAUGCCUGACAGGGGUGGUUACAGGUAAUGACGUUUGAAAGGACACUGGAACAAGCGUCAAGAAACUUGACUUUGGUCCCUCAAUAACUGUGUGAUUUCGUACAAAUAACGGUUGUGGCUUCAGAUUUCUUCCUCAUCAAGAUGGAUGAGAUGAAGGAUCAGUCCCAGCUGCUUGGGAGGGUCCUUCAAGAGCCUUAAACAAUACAGCUCACAGCCAUCCAGAACUCCAGUUCCAGCAGAUCCAGUGUCCUCUCCAGAGCUCUCCAAGCACCGUGUGGUACACAUGCAUGCAGUUCGGUUCCCAGCAAGAACACGGAAGUUCAUAAGCAUCUCAAACGGCAAUCCCUGGAAAUGCACAUCUGCGUCACUGUUGAACUUAUAAUGCACCAAUAUUAAAAAGUUACCGUUUUAAAGGAAAGCAGACAGCGGAACAUCGAGAUGGUGCUCCAAGACAUUGAUUGGUUGAGUAUGAGGCUGAUUGGUGUUUAAAAUAUUUGUGGUCCUGGUCAAGGAGUCUGCAGCCACAGCCACAAGGAACAGACACAGCAAAAGGAGACCAUGGACUUGUUGACUUAUGAUAAAGGCAAUCUAUAUGGUUCAGUCUUAAAUCACCUCAGCAGGAAUUUGAUGAGGAACGACAGCAAAUGCACUUAUAUAAAGAAGACUUCUGAGACCUUG